rnacentral:lncRNA from 1 species
GACCGCCACACCAUCUCCUCGCCUUCCCUUCUCAUUUGUUCGCGCUACUUUUUUUGUUCAGACGGGUAACUAGGUAGCUGGAUCUCUUCGAGAGGUGGUAUGAUAGAGGAUGCACAACGAGGCAAAAACUAGCCAUGUUGCCAGUAGAAACGGGGAGGAUGAGGCCAAGAGGGGGUGGACUUCUGGAUCAAGAACUGUGAGUGCCUUCUGCUGUAUUAGUUCAUUUGUGUAAAAUUUUCUAAUUCUUUGCUAUGCAAGAAUACAUGUGAUUUCAUUAAUAAACAAACAAACAUUCAAUCUGGAUUCUGGAAUAGCAUAUUAAAUGAGCAGACAUUGUAUCUUUUGACAAGCCGACUGCAGUUCUUUUUUAACAUUUUACCUUCUAUUGCAUUUUUUCUUGCACUUCUUUUUCCAAAGAGUUGUAUUUUAGUGAGAGUUUACUUAGGUUUAUCCUGAGCCAUUAAAAUUGAUAUAUAAGAACCUAUAUGCUUUUUAGCACUAAGAUAAUCCACACUUUAUACCUAAACAAUAGCACACAAGUUGUCAUUUGCAAGAUCUAUAUUUGAUCCAGCUUCACUUAUGUCAUCAUUAUCAUCUACUUCUAUUCUAUAGAUGUUGGCUGCCCCAUCAGGCUUCGAGCAGCUGGACAGCUCCAAAUUUCUUUUAUUGUCUUUACCUGAUAUUUUGAUUUUGCUGUGGAGGCCACGCGUGGCCACCACCAGCGGCUGGGAGCUGCAUAGAGUCUAGAGUUCUAACUUUUUUACUGUCCUUAGCUGCUAUCGUUACUGUUUUAUGGAGGCACUUUUCCCAUUUCUCCUAAAGUAAACUGACACUACGGUACUCAAUAUGUUGCCAACGACCCUUGGGAUGAAUAAGAUCAACUUUAAGCUUCUCCACAAAGCAAUAUCUCGAAAAAAUGAACUAAAAAAUUAAUUUGUGUCAUAGAUUGAUUAUGGCACUGAUAUACAUUUUUGAGUUCUGAUGAAAAUAAAUUCAUAUUAAAUUAUGCUAUCGGACCAUUUUGUCAAUCGUACGUCUACACAUGUGCAUGUUCCUAUAUAUCUAAACUACUGAAUGUACAUGUGCAUGUUCCUAUAAAUGGUUGCACAUAUAGUUGAUUAUGCCACUGAUACACGCCUUUUGGGCUAUGAUGAAAAAUAAAUUCAAGUUAAAUUAUGCUGUCAGACCAUUUUGUCAAUCGUACAUCUACACAUGUACAUAUUCUUAUAUAUAUCUAAACUACUAAAUAUAUUCUAACAUAUUUCACUUGACCUGUAGGCUUCAUCGUGAGUAUUUUUUAAGGAAUAGAUCCCCAAUGAAAUGGAUACCCUUACAGGAUGACAAUGAUCCUCAACGAAAUGGAUACCCUUACAGGAUCGCAAUGAUCCUUAUUUUUGGAAACAUGUUAUUCUCUUUGAAUUUCACUAUGUGUUCAUUGAUCAUCAUUUUGCAGGAUGACAAUGAUGAGUACAACGAAAAUAGGAGAUCUAAUGGAAAAU